rnacentral:rRNA from 1 species
AUACGGAGGGUGCAAGCGUUAAUCGGAAUUACUGGGCGUAAAGCGUACGUAGGCGGUUCGUUAAGUUAGAUGUGAAAGCCCCGGGCUUAACCUGGGAACUGCAUUUAAAACUGGCGAACUAGAGUUGAGUAGAGGGGAGUGGAAUUUCAGGUGUAGCGGUGAAAUGCGUAGAGAUCUGAAGGAACACCAGUGGCGAAGGCGACUCCCUGGACUCGAACUGACGCUGAGGUACGAAAGCGUGGGUAGCAAACGGGAUUAGAAACCCUGUAGUCC